UACGUGGGGGGCAAGCGUUGUCCGGAUUUAUUGGGCGUAAAGAGCGUGUAGGCGGCCUUACAGGUCAGCUGUGAAAACUCGAGGCUCAACCUCGAGACGUCGGUUGAAACCGUAUGGCUAGAGUCCGGAAGAGGAGAGUGGAAUUCCCGGUGUAGCGGUGAAAUGCGCAGAUAUCGGGAAGAACACCCGUGGCGAAGGCGGCUCUCUGGGACGGUACUGACGCUGAGACGCGAAAGCGUGGGGAGCGAACAGG
rnacentral:rRNA from 1 species